rnacentral:rRNA from 1 species
UACAGAGGUGGCAAGCGUUGUUCGGAAUUACUGGGCGUAAAGGGCGCGUAGGCGGUUUCGUAAGUCCUGUGUGAAAUCCCCCGGCUCAACUGGGGAACUGCACGGGAAACUGCGAGGCUUGAGUUCGGGAGAGGGAAGCGGAAUUCCGGGUGUAGCGGUGAAAUGCGUAGAUAUCCGGAGGAACACCGGUGGCGAAGGCGGCUUCCUGGACCGACACUGACGCUGAGGCGCGAAAGCCAGGGGAGCAAACGGG